AUCAUACUCCCUCUGUCCGAAAAAACUUGUCCCUCCAAUGGAUGUAUCUAGCACUAACUUGAUGCUAGAUAUAUCCAUUUGAGGGACACUAACUUGAUGCUAGGUACAUCCAUUUAAGGGACAAACUUUUUCGGACGGAGGGAGUACACG
rfam:Triticum aestivum genome assembly, contig: Triticum_aestivum_CS42_TGACv1_scaffold_131499_2BL